UACGGGGGGGGCAAGCGUUGUUCGGAAUUACUGGGCGUAAAGGGCUCGUAGGCGGCCAACUAAGUCAGACGUGAAAUCCCUCGGCUUAACCGGGGAACUGCGUCUGAUACUGGAUGGCUUGAGUUUGGGAGAGGGAUGCGGAAUUCCAGGUGUAGCGGUGAAAUGCGUAGAUAUCUGGAGGAACACCGGUGGCGAAGGCGGCAUCCUGGACCAUAACUGACGCUGAGGCGCGAAAGCUAGGGGAGCAAACGGG
rnacentral:rRNA from 1 species